GUUGGAUCUUCCAUAUGUUGACAAUCAACCAUGUGCCUUUUGGGACAUGGUACCCAGCUACAAUGCAAUCUUCUGAAAAUUCUCUUGGAGCUCCAAGUGGUGCUGCUGGGUAUAACCUCAGUGACUCCUUCACAAUAGCUUGGAGGUAGACUAGUUUGCUAAUAUCUAAAUCAUUAACUCGUCUACCCUUUCCAACAUGCUUGUCUAUUUCCUCUUGAACGUUUUGCAGAGCAAAGGGAUUAUUUAAUAACAGUGAAAGUGUCCAUGUCAGGGUGGCUGUGAUGGUAUCCGCACUACUAGCAAUGAUAUCCUACAAAGAAAUUGAAGUAUUUAGGAACCAUACAUCAGUAUUUUCUCUGAAUUGUGUUUCUGCUUUCACAAUCAUUUCAUGUUUCUGUUCUAAUAAAGAGUAAAAUUCAUUUGUACUCAAGGUGCAUCCUACUCAGACUCCCUUACAAGCUAAAAGCAUUUCCUUUUAAGAAAAAGGCUAUUAUUCAAAAUUUUAACGUCUGUUAAUUAAUAAUAACAAAUCAAGUGAUUUUCAUAAAAUCAUAAGUAAUGAUAACUGCAUUAUAAGUGAUUUUAGUUUGAAAAGUUUAUGUCUUCAACAAACCAUGUAAAAAGUAGAUAAAUACAAUACAUUUGAAGCAAUCAAAGACCUUAAUUAAAGUUUUUGAUGUAAUGUUUACCGAAUCUAGGAUUCUUUUUAACUACACUGACGCAUAACAAGAUAAAUAAACUAAAUCUAUAUAUUUAUGUAAUUAGCAUGUAUAUGUAUCAGAUCAUACCAAGCAUGUAGACUUAAUAACCGCGUCAGCAUCAUAAUCUGUCAAGCCUCCGGUUUCUACAGCAGAGAUCAUCACAUCCAUGUAAUCCUUAUCCUCAAUAACCUCCACACAACCCCUCUUCCUCCUAUGCUCGUCCAACCACUUCCCAGUUAUGCAAUCAAUUUCUUUUGCAACUCUUUUCAUGGCUUUUACAUGACCACCUAAAUCCAACCACCCAAGGAAAGGAAGUGCAUCUCCCACCACAAAAAGCCCCAAGAAAUGAAAAAAUUCCCUAAACACUUUACCAUAAUUGUUCAUGUCAUUUUCCUCUUCAACGUUUUUAGCCUCCGUACACCGUUUACCAACUACCAUUCUAAGCAUCACAUUCAUAUCAAAUUCCCCAAACCAUUUCUUCAUAUCAACCAAUACUUUCCCCCUCGCAUCUUUCUUCUCCUUCCAUAGCUCAUGCAUUUUUCUGAUAGAGUUCUCCAGUUCAGACUCACGAACAUCCUUUAGUUGCUCAAGGCGACGGUUUGAUAGCAGUUGAAGGGAAGCAAUCUUACGCAUUUCUCGCCAGUAUGGACCAUAAGGAGUGACUCCAAACAUGGCGUAGUUAUAUCCCAAAAUCUUAGCAGCUGUAAACUUGGGGCGAGAGGAGAUAGUUACAUCAUGGGUGGUGAAAAGCUCUUUAGCAAUCUCCCAACUAUUCACUACCAAUACUUUACGGACUCCUAGACGAACUGUAAAGAUUGGUCCAUGUUUUAAAGCCAAGGAUCCCAAUGCUAUGUGGGGAGGACCGGAUGAUCCUCCAAAGAGGUUCAAAUGCCCUAGUAUUGGCCUUGCACCACUUGCUUUAGGUACAGCAUUGUUUUUACGAGUUUUAGUGAUGAGCGAUAAGAAAUUAAGGACCACAACUACAGCUCCAAUUCCAAGUAAGAAAGUAUAAUUUUGUUGCAAGGAGUGGAGAUCCAUGAGAAGAUUGAUGGUGUCAACCCUGAUGGAUCUAUUUUUGUGAGUCAGCGAAAAAGAUGAAGAGUAUUUAAAGAAGUACAUUAGAAGAUUUUCACGUUUUGUCCUAUUGGAGUUUGCGUGGGUUUAUCUUGUUCACAAAUACCAUGUGUGUGGCUGAGAUUAUUUGGAAGACAAAUUAAAUAUCCUCCUACUAUUUGCUUUUAUUUUUUCUCCUAUCAUAUCAAAUGUUGACAUAUGUCAUAUUUAAUUAGACAUUUAAUGAAAUUAAUAAUCAUUUAAUCCACUUGUCAACAUUUGACACGGUAGGAGGAAAAGUAGGAAGAAAUGGUAGGAGAAUAUUUAAUUUCUCUAUUUGGAAAGCAGAGCCGAAUUACACUUAAUAAUUAUUGUAAAAACUAAAGAUAACCAUCAAGUUCCGAAAAUGUCAUGAUCUCUUGAAUGGCCUUAAAAUUAAUAACAAGUGAUAAGAUAAUUACCGGUGGAUAUUUUUUUUUGUACACAAUAUUUAUUUUCAUUUCACACACCAAUGACUUGAAUACAUUACAUUUUUCUAGAAUUUUUAAACUUUCUAUUUUUCAUUUGUCAUUUUAUUGUAUUUUUCGUUUUAUUAAAUUAAAAUUUCAUAUCCUUUAUUUGGAUACAUGACAUUUUCUAGAAUUUUUUAAUUUUCUAUUUUUCACUUGUCAUUUUAUUAUAUUUUUCGUUUUAUUAAAUUAAAAUUUCAUAUUUAAUAUGUAUGAUAAUAUAUAAUCAAAACAUUAAAGCCUUAUUAAUUUUAAUAAUUCAAACUUUUUCUCAUUUUUUUUAUAAAAUUAAACUUUUCAAAUUGUAAAUUUCAUAUAUUUUUUUAAAUAAACGUAUGUAAUAUAUAAGUCUCACACCUAAUUACAUAUUAUAUUCUCUUAAAAGGAAAAAUGCACAUGGAUACAUCUCGGUAUAUGUUUUGUACUAUAACCGAUAUUACCUUUAACUAAUAGAAAAAAUCACGUAUUGUAAAAAAAAAAGGUAAGCACGAGCCUUUUUGUUUUUUGCUUGCUAACCCACGUUCGCUGUGCUCUAUUCUGUGUUUNCUGAACUCGGUCUGUCUCGACAAGCUUUGGUAUUUGAACAAGGGAUAAUGACUUAGGAGGGUAAUAAGGUUUUCAGUUUGUCCAUAUUAGGUGUCUAAGAUAUUUUUUGUACGUAUCACACCAAUAAGAUUGUUAUAACCAUUUAGAAAUAGUCCAUUUUACCGAUUUCUUCUUGUUUAACUUACUUGGCAUCUUACGUUUUUGGUGGCAUGCCUGUAACCGCCAGCAACAUAAGGUCCCAUUUUUCUUCUACCCUAAAUUGAAGAGUUGAAGAAGAAGACGAAAAGAUGUCUCAAGCCUCCAUUGUCUCCACCUCAAACAACCUAAUUAUGUGCUACUGUGGGCUAUCGGCUCGGAUUCGAGUCUCCACGACACCACAAAAUGCGGGGAAUAGGUUCAUAACAUGCCCUAAUUCGUUGGUAAUGACCAAUUUUGAAGAUUGAAGCUUUUCUCUUUAGGGCAUGUGUUGUCAUCCAUUUUUAUGAUUUUUUUUUAAUGUAAAUUAAGUAUAACUGAUAUCUUGUAUAAAAUAGGAUAAUAUAUUGAAAUGUAUUGUAUUUAUAUAUUGUAUUGUUUGUAUUUAAGUUAAUUUUAUAAAAUAAAUUGAGUAAAUGCAAAGUAUAAUGUUAUAACCGACAAUGUGUAUUGUAAUAUUUCUUAGUGUUAUGGUUGAAUAUGAAUUUUCUUAUAGAUUUAAUGUACUGAUGUUUUUUCUGCAUUUUAUGUAGAAAAAAUUUGGAUUUUUUUUUUUACUAAUUUAGUGAUAGAUUACUAACAGAAAUAUCCGCCACUUAUAGUGUCAUCGGAAAUGUGUAGGUAAAUUGGUCAAACAAGGUUAAACCAGCUUCACUCAAUAUUUCAUAACUAUUCCAUAGGUGAUUAUAUGUCUUUGUUAUUCUUAACGACAAAAUUGGUCGUCGGUAGUUUGUCGGUAAUCCGUCAGCAAAAAUUACCCACAUUCGAAUAUGUUACGGUUUGAAUUCUGCCGGUAAAGGUCGUUGCCUACGGAAUACCGUAUUCCAACGGAUUCUUUCGCAGCUAAAUCACGAUGUUCUAGUUGUGAGUGUGAGUAUNNNNNNNNNNNNNNNNNNNNNNNNNNNNNNNNNNNNNNNNNNNNNNNNNNNNNNNNNNNNNNNNNNNNNNNNNNNNNNNNNNNNNNNNNNNNNNNNNNNNNNNNNNNNNNNNNNNNNNNNNNNNNNNNNNNNNNNNNNNNNNNNNNNNNNNNNNNNNNNNNNNNNNNNNNNNNNNNNNNNNNNNNNNNNNNNNNNNNNNNNNNNNNNNNNNNNNNNNNNNNNNNNNNNNNNNNNNNNNNNNNNNNNNNNNNNNNNNNNNNNNNNNNNNNNNNNNNNNUUUUUUUUAUAUUUUCAGGUAUCGUUAUUUAUAAGUGAAUAAAAAUGAAUCAGGUUUUUACUACGGUACAUUCGUUAUUCAGUUAUGAAUAAAAACUAUGAUUAAUUUUUUUUUUUACAAUUUAAGUAUCAUUCAUAUAUGAAUAUAGCAUAUAAUAAACAUAGUAUAUUCAUAUUUAAAUAUUAGACGAUACAUUCACUUAUGAAUGUUAUAUAGUAUAUUAAUUUGCGAAUAUUAGAUGGUAUAUUCACUUAUGAAUAUUAGAUAAUCUUUUCAUAUCUGCAUAUUACAUAGUAUUACAUGGUAUAUCACAUUUGAAUAUUACAUAGUAUAUUCAUUUGUGAAUAUUAGAUGAUAUAUUCACUUAUGAAAAUUGCACAAUAUAUUCACAUAUGAAUAUUACACAGUAUAUUCACAUAUGAAUAUUAUAACGUAUUUUCACAAAUAUAUAUAAUUUUUAUAUUUUAUUCACAUAUGAAUAACAUAUAUAAUUACAUAUUUGUUUUUUUGUUUUAAUAAUCAUAUACUGAGAAAACAUAUUCAUAUAUGAAUAUAACGUGGUAAUUUAGUUUAUGCAUUUCAUGAAACAGUUGGAGUGCAUACAAUUUAACUUUUUUUAAAAAUGUUAAAAACAUGAUAUUUUGACUAUUUAAAUCUUACAAAAGAGUAGAUUGAUAGAGAAUUAUAUGAAAUUUUUCAAAAAAAAAACGGUUUAAUCUUUUUCUAACAUCAAUUUUGAAGUUUUAUUUGAUAAUCGAUGUUGAAUGAAUGAUAUGGAGUGGAUUUUUGUUGAUUAUCGAUGAUGUUGAUCUAAUAACGCUGGGAGUAUAAUUAAUCAUAGAUGUUGAAGAUUUGAUCAUAUUCAAGCACAAUUGAAGGUUGAAUUAAAAGAACCAAAAACGAAUUUUUGUUGUUAACUGUUGAAUCGUGUUGAUUAUUGACGAAGAUCGAUGAUUGAUUAGCACCGGAUGAUGUUGAUGAUGGUUUAAUUGAAGAAAUCUGGAUGAUUGUUGAAAGUUGAAGAAGAAAUUUGGAUGAUGAACGAUGAAUGAGUUUGAACUACAGAUACGUAUUUGAGAUUGAAGGUUGUUCUCAUNNNNNNNNNNNNNNNNNNNNNNNNNNNNNNNNNNNNNNNNNNNNNNNNNNNNNNNNNNNNNNNNNNNNNNNNNNNNNNNNNNNNNNNNNNNNNNNNNNNNNNNNNNNNNNNNNNNNNNNNNNNNNNNNNNNNNNAUAUAUAUAUCAUCUAUUUGUCUUUUAAAACACAUUCUAUUAGUUUAGAUAUGGCAUUUUUUCUCUCAUUAUUCCCCAAGAAACAAAAACAUAUCAUUUCACCUCCUUCAACCAUAUCUGAUGAACACCACCACACCACCACUGCUGAUGGCGGCCUCACCGCCUACAUCACCUCUACCGACGUCCCUUCCACUACAGCUGCUGACGAUGUCAAAUAACCAACAGCAACAAGAAACUCCUUCUAUUCCAUUUUUUUUCUCAAAUCGUCGUGGAAUAAAACUUUCCAGAUGUUGAUCUAAAUCGCCGGAAUAUCUCAGAUCUAGAGAAAAAACUAGCAAAGACGACCACUACACACCAGAUCUACAACCACCACCUUCUAGAUCUGCUUCAUCUUCGAUUCUUCCAUAUGUGCUUUGUUUCUGACUACUUCAGAUCUAGAUCUAAGUCGUCGGAAUAUCUUAGAUCUAGAGAGAAACCGACGAAAAAGACCACCAUAUGCCGAGAUAUCUUAAAUCUGAAACCCUAGCGCUGCCAUUAACGUGAAUUGUUGUCGUCACUACCGUUUGAUGCACCAAAGGACAGAUCUAGGAGCGACGAUGUCAGAUCGACCGGGUGAGUGGCGAGGAUCCAGCAAAACCUUCUCCAUCUACAUCUAUUUCGACUUUGAUUCCUCCAAAUUUGCUUAUUCUCCAGCCAAUUUUUUUUUGUCUCUGGCCACCUCUUGCCAUCGACGUCGAUCUCGCAACCACCAGCCGCCACCCUUCAUAUCAGGAGUCGUUAACUUUAGAUCCAGAACAUCCUCAUUCAUAUUUGCCCCCAUUAUCGACGUAAUCUUUAUAUUACUUCAGAUCUGUGAAUUAUGCUUCAUUUCCGACCUCUAACCUCUCUAAAGCACCAGAAAACGUCAUGUCGCCUACCUCAACCUUUCAGGCAAAAGAUGGCGGAAAAAUCACGAACUGUCAUCAACCUUUUAGAUCUGAAGCAAAAACGUACCAAUUUUUUAGAUUUGGUCAGAUCUGGUCAAAUCUGAUGUGUUUGAUGUAAUUUUACGCAUCGAUCAUGUAUGUAUGAAAAAUUUCAUGGUGGCCACCGGUGGUACCACCACCGUAUCAGAUCUCUUCCACUAUUACCAUCUCCUCGCCUCAGAUUGCCGGAAAAUUCAUCAUCUGCCAUCAACAUUUUAGAUCUGAAGUCAAAGGUGCAACGGUUUCUCAUAUCUUAUUAGAUCUGCUUUGAUCUUGAAUAUUCGGAGACUUUAAGAAACAUGACAAUCUUAGAUCUUUAAAUCCCAUCAUAUCUUAAAACAAUAUGCACACAAGGUGUUUGAUGAAAAGCUUCAACGAGAUUUGUAAGUUUUUAAGUUAUGAAUAAGUGUUUAAAUUUUUGUGUUAAGUUGUGAAUUAGUGUUUGAAGUGUGUAUUAUAUUAUGAAUUUUGAUUUUUUAGACAUUAAGUUGUGAAAUUGUUUGCAAUAUUUAAUUAUGUUUUGAAUUAGUAUCUGAAAUGUUUUAGUAAAUUUUGAAUAUUUGAUUUUUUAUCCAGAAUUUUAUACAUGUAAAUGAGAUGUGAAUGUAACGUAUUAAACUAUGAAUUUUGUAUAUUAACCUUUGAAUUUUAUUAACAACUUAAUAUAAUAAAUUCACAUUUUAAUACACAAUUUGUAUUGUGCUCACAAGGUGUUUGAAAAAUGUUUCAAUAAAUGAUAUUAUUUUAAGGAGUGAAUACUAUGAAUGAGAGUCCUAAACUGAUUUACUAAACUGUAAAUGAAAAUUCUUGAAAUGUAAGUUUUAUGUUGAGAAUAUUGUUUUCAUUUUAUAAUUUUUAUGUAUUAAAAUGCGAAUUAAUUGUAUUAAAUUGUGAUUAAUAUUAAUAAGUUAAUAAAUAUAAAAAAAUGCUUGUUCACAGCUUAAGAAACUAGUUUAGAACAUACAUUGUUUUUAUUCAUAUUAACUGUUUUUUUUAUAAUUAUUAAGUUGUUAAUGCAUGGAUUUAUACAUAUCUGAUUGUUUCAAUUAGAAAAAAAAAAGUUUAAGCUUUGAGUGCUUGAUUUUUUUAUAACUAUUCAGUUGUGAAUGCAUUAUUUUUUGUAAGUAUUAAUUUGUGAAUGCUUGAUUUUUUUUCAUAAGUUUUAGUUGUGAUUAAAUAAAAUUUUUAUAAGUUUUAAGCAGUAUAUGUAUGAAUUUUUAUAAGUUUUAAUGUGAAUUUAAACGUUUUUUUUAUUAUAUUACUGUUUUCUCAAAUAAUGUGAACUUAGGAUUUUUAAGUUGUGAAUUGUGAUGAGUGUUUGAACUGCUAUCUAAUACAACCCUCAAGCUCCAAAAAUCAUCGAAUGUAAUUUUUAACCUGUAAAUAUAUUUUAUUAAACUGUGAGUUUGUGUAUUAAAUUGUGUAUUCAAUGCAUAAAGUUGUGAAUUGAGUAUAUUAAGCUGUUAAAUUUUUUAUGAAAUUUAUUCUUGCUUCUAAAAUAUCAGAUGAAAGAAGCAUUAUAUAUAUAGAUUUUAUUUUCUUUAAUUUUGAAUAAUAUGUAAAAUUUAAAUUGUGAAUAUUAUAUAAAUUAAAAUUUGAAAGAAACACUAGCUCACUUAUCUAAAAGUAUAAAUAUAAGUACUAAGUACCAAAUAUGGAUGUGAAUGUAUAGUUUUUGUGUAUUAAAUUGUGAAUUUAAUAUAUUAAGUUGUUAGUUUUGUGUAUUGACUGUAUUAAGCUAUUAAUUGAUUGUAUUAAAUUGUGAUUUUAUUUUUAUGAAUUUUAUGUUAAAAUAUGAAUAUUUGUAUUAAUUUUCUUGUGAGUAUCUUUUUGUGAACUAAAUAUGUAAGAAUGUAUCAAUUUUUACAAUUGUUGCAUUAAACUCUAAACUAGUGAAUUGAUAUGGUUAUUAAACUGUGAAUAUAGUACUUAAGUUAACAAUGCAUGAUUUUAUAUACAUAUUUGGUUUGAAAUGAAUGAUGGUUACGACAUUGACAUAGAUGGUUGGUGUUGACAAGAGCUAGUUCGUGGCAGUGGUUGAGUUUGGGUUUGACUCUCCUAAAUUAGUGAAUAAGUGAUGUUUUGAUUGUAUUAAAUUGUGAAUUUUGUGUACUAAACUAUGAAUGGACUAUAUUAAAUUUAGUAUUUUGUACAAUUUUUGUGUUAAAAUUUGAAUUGAUUUAUGAAUGAAAAUAUUAAUCUGGAAAAAUUACAAUUUUGCCUUUUUUGUAUCAAAAAUACAAAAAAAAAAUUCCGGAUUUUAACAUGUUUAAUAAGUAUUGCGUAUAAAAUGGGAUUGUUACCGUUCUUAAUCUUUUGUGGUUCUUAUUUGAACCACUAUAUAUAUAUAUAUAUAUAUAUAUAUAUAUAUAUAUAUAUAUAUAUAUAUAUAUAUAUAUAUAUAUAUAUAUAUAUAUAUAUAUAUAUAUAUAUAUAUAUAUAUAUAUAUAUAUAUAUAUAUAUAUAUAUAUAUAUAUAUAUAUAUAUAUAUAUAUAUAUAUAUAUAUAUAUAUAUAUAUAUAUAUAUAUAUAUAUAUAUAUAUAUAUAUAUAUAUAUAUAUAUAUAUAUAUAUAUAUAUAUAUAUAUAUAUAUAUAUAUAUAUAUAUAUAUAUAUAUAUAUAUAUAUAUAUAUAUAUAUAUAUAUAUAUAUAUAUAUAUAUAUAUAUAUAUAUAUAUAUAUAUAUAUAUAUAUAUGUAUUUAAUUUUAAAAUUGAAACAAAUCAGAAAUUGACAAGUGGAUAAUAUUUAUUUUAAAAAUACUACAAAAUGACAAGUGUUAAAACUAAUGAGAGAUUGACAAGUGGCAAAGUUAUUUUUAUUUAUUAGGGAGGAAUAACCUUAAAAAUACUUGUAUCAACCAUUCAAAAUUGUACAUGAUAUAGAAAAGGCAACUAUAUCCCAAUUAUAUAAAACAUAGUCCAAUAAAACUUCAUACAAGGAGGAGUGGUAAAUACAAUGACGAAUGCAAUUCAUAUAUACUUCAUUCACCAAUUAUAAGAUGGCAAACGUGGGAAGAUUUGAACUUCAAGGGGAGAAGCCUUGGCAUUUAUUAAUCCGACACUUUCAGUCAUAUCUAUAGUAGAAUUGUCGGGCGAUGACAUGUCAAAGUUUUGUAGCAAAGUAGCUAACACAAUGUGUAACAUCUGAAGUGAAAAAGCUAACCCGGGACAAGACCUUCUUCCAGCACCAAAUGGGAUUAACUCAAAGUUUGUCCCCUUAACAUCUACAUGUGCAUGAGUCCCAUAAAGGAACCUCUCAGGCUUAAAUUCUGAUGGGUCUGACCAGAUUUCUGGGUCAUGUUGGAGCUUCCAUAUGUUGACAAUCAACCAUGUGCCUUUUGGGACAUGAUACCCAGCUACAGUGCAAUCUUCUAAAAAUUCUCUUGGAGCUCCAAGUGGUGCUGCUGGGUAUAACCUCAGUGACUCCUUCACAAUAGCUUGGAGGUAGACUAGUUUGCUAAUAUCUGAAUCAUUAACUCCUCUACCCUGUCCAACAUGUUUGUCUAUUUCCUCUUGAACCUUUUGGAGAGUACUGGGAUUGUUCAAUAACAGUGAGAGCGUCCAUGUUAGCGUGACAGUGAUGGUAUCCGCAC
rnacentral:lncRNA from 1 species